AGUGAACGCUGGCGGUAGGCCUAACACAUGCAAGUCGAACGGCAGCACAGUAAGAGCUUGCUCUUACGGGUGGCGAGUGGCGGACGGGUGAUGAAUACAUCGGAAUCUACUUUUUCUUGGGUGCUAACGUAGGGAAGCUUACGCUAAUACCGCAUACGACCUACGGGUGAAAGCAGGGGAUCUUCGGACCUUGCGCGAUUGAAUGAGCCGAUGUCGGAUUAGCUAGUUGGCGGGGUAAAGGCCCACCAAGGCGACGAUCCGUAGCUGGUCUGAGAGGAUGAUCAGCCACACUGGAACUGAGACACGGUCCAGACUCCUACGGGAGGCAGCAGUGGGGAAUAUUGGACAAAGGGCGCAAGCCUGAUCCAGCCAUACCGCGUGGGUGAAGAAGGCCUUCGGGUUGUAAAGCCCUUUUGUUGGGAAAGAAAAGCAGCAGGUUAAUACCCCGCUGUUCUGACGGUACCAAAAGAAUAAGCACCGGCUAACUUCGUG
rnacentral:rRNA from 1 species